CAAAAUGAGGAUGUAAGAUGCAACGUUUAAUCUGAAUGAUUUUUUAUUUAGGAAUGUGGGAAGAAACUGGAGCGUCGCAGUGAAAACACAAACAUAUGUGACAGGAGAACAUGCAGCGUCAUGGAGAGAAGAAGCUCCUGCUUUUGAAAUAUAGAACUAUCCAGAGUCACUUCACGUUAAGUCGAAAAUGAAGAGUUUAUGAUGAAACUUUUUAUCCGAUUGUUUUUUUUUCCUGAAUUUUUUAUUUCGGAAAGUGUGAGGAAACUGGAGCUUGAUUUCAUCUUAUAGUGAUUGUGGAUAGUUCUAUUUUUGACAGCAGGGCGGUCGAUGGCUGAAAGCGGGGGGGGGGGGGGGGGGGUUAGGGAGAGUGAGCGGAGAGGGGAGACUGAUGGAGCAGGAGGACAGGGGAUGCGAUAGAUCCAGACUCGGUACCCCCAGUUCUUUUAAAGACCUGGAGGAAUCGUCUCCUCAAGGACUUCUUCUCUGGUUUGCUCUGCAGCUUCUUCAUCCUAUUUUCAAGACUCAUUAUUGUCUCCAUCAGUUCUUCUCUGCACUUGUCUGUCUCCUCCUCCGUGGUCUCCAGAACUUCUUUGAAGGCGCUGAGAGACUCCUCAAGAGCGGACGUUUCGCUCUGCCACCGCUGUCUUUCCCUCCGUCCUUCUUCCUGCGACUGGAGCAGUGUUGCCUCGAGGCCGGAGAUUUCCUGGGUUUGCUCAGCCAGGAGACGGGACUUGUCCUGCUUCCACUGGCAUCUUGACUUUUCCAGGUUGUCCAGGGCCUGGGCCAGUGCAGUCUUGAAUUUGGACGUCUCCUCAAUCUCUCUGGCUAGGCGUGUCUCUUCCUCCGUUGCUGCUUGUCUUCCAGCUUGAACAGCUUUCUCGAGUUCACAGACCUGUAGGGUAGCAUCCAGCUCCAACUUGGUCACUGAGGACACUUGAGCAAUGAGGUACUCUUUAUCCUCAUUGAUAUCCUUGAUUUCACUCCUCAGAUUCUCUGUCUGUUUGAGUAUGUCACAGUUUUCUUGUACCAGAACGCAGAGCCACUUCUCCUUGUCCUGCAGGAGGCGAUGCAACUCUCCUUCCUGUAAUGUGAGGAGGGCCUGUUUGAUCACAUCAGUGUCUGUACCAGGCACAGGCACAAGCGAAUACAAAGGCACAGACAAAGGCAACGGCAAUGGCAACGGCAACGGCAACGGCACAGAUGCAGACGUAGCUGUCUCUGUCGCUAUCUGUGUCGCUAUCUCUGGUGUAGACUGGUCUGGAGCUGCCUGUGUUCCAGUGGACUGAGAAGUCAAUGCAGCUUCCCCUGGAGAUCCUGCCUCCCUCCUCGGGACAGCCUGGUCUUGAACUGUCUCUGCAGGCUCUUGUCUCAGGACUGUCUGGUCUUCAGUCGUCUCUGCCAAGUGUGUUACAGUUGACAGAUGAGGCUGCACACCUUCCUCCGUUUCCAGAGACGAUGUAGAUGGAGUCAAAGACUCAACCUUCCCCUUUGUUUUCUCUGCAGACUGGUCUUUGGUUCUCACUUUAGAUCUUCUAAACAUGAAGUUGACCAAAAAGUUUGAAGACUUUUUGGGUUUAGUCUUCUGUCCCUCACUUUUGUCAUGUUUUAAUAUUGCACUCAGAGGUGGAAGGAUAUCCUUGCCUUCGAGCACCAUGCAGGGUUUACCCUCUUCAGGAAGAUUUGUUGUCUCAGAAUCAUUGAGAGUUGUUGUCUCCAACUCAUUGAGAGUUGUUGUCUCCAUAUCGUUGAGAGUUGUUGUCUCCAUAUUGUUGAGAAUUGUUGUCUCCAUAUCCUUGAGAGUUGUUGUCUCCAUAUCCUUGAGAGUUGUUGUCUCCAUAUCCUUGAGAGUUGUUGUCUCCAUAUUGUUGAGAAUUGUUGUCUCCAUAUCCUUGAGAGUUGUUGUCUCCAUAUCCUUGAGAGUUGUUGUCUCUGAAUCGUUGAGAGUUGUUGUCUCCAUAUUGUUGAAAGUUGAUGUCUCUGAAUCGUUGAGAGUUGUUGUCUCAGAAUCGCUGAGAGUUGUUGUCUCUGAAUCGUUGAGAGUUGUUGUCUCUGAAUCGUUGAGAGUUGUUGUCUCAGAAUCGCUGAGAGUUGUUGUCUCCAUAUUGUUAAGAGUUGUUGUCUCCAUAUCCUUGAGAGUUGUUGUCUCCAUAUCCUUGAGAGUUGUUGUCUCUGAAUCGUUGAGAGUUGUUGUCUCAGAAUCGCUGAGAGUUGUUGUCUCUGAAUCAUUGAGAGUUGUUGUCUCAGAAUCGCUGAGAGUUGUUGUCUCCAUAUUGUUAAGAGUUGUUGUCUCACAAACAUUAAGAAUUGUUCUCUCUGAAUCAUUGAGAGUUGCUACAUCUCCUGCCUGGAGGUUUUGCUUGCUCCCGGUAUGCUUGAAGUAUGUGAAGCCCUUCCACCAAGAAUUUCCCUUUGGCUUCACUUUGCUUCUGUCCAGGUCCAGAUUUCUCUUCUCACCUGUUCUCUCGAGGUCCAGAUUUCUAUUCUCAAUUGUUCUGUCCAUGUCCAGAUUUCUCUUCUCACCUGUUGUUUCCAGGUCCAGAUUUCUCUUCUCACCUGUUCUCUCGAGGUCCAGAUUUCUCUUCUCACCUGUUCUUUCCAGGUCCAGAUUUCUAUUCUCAAUUGUUCUGUCCAUGUCCAGAUUUCUCUUCUCACCUGUUGUUUCCAGGUCCAGAUUUCUCUUCUCACCUGUUCUCUCGAGGUCCAGAUUUCUCUUCUCACCUGUUCUCUCGAGGUCCAGAUUUCUAUUCUCAAUUGUUCUGUCCAUGUCCAGAUUUCUCUUCUCACCUGUUGUUUCCAGGUCCAGAUUUCUCUUCUCACCUGUUCUCUCGAGGUCCAGAUUUCUCUUCUCACCUGUUCUUUCCAGGUCCAGAUUUCUCUUCUCACCUGUUCUCUCGAAGUCCAGAUUUCUCUUCUCACCUGUUCUCCCGAGGUCCAGAUUUCUCUUCUCAACGGUUCUGUCCAUGUCCAGAUUUCUCUUCUCACCUGUUCUUUCCAGGUCCAGAUUUCUCUUCUCACCUGUUCUCUCGAAGUCCAGAUUUCUCUUCUCACCUCUUCUGUCGAGGUCCAGAUUUCUCUUCUUAACGGUUCUGUCCAGGUCCAGAUUUCUCUUCUCACCUGUUCUGUCCAGGUCCAGAUUUCUCUUCUCGCCUGCUCUGUCAAUGUCUGUUUCUGUUAGAGAUUUCUUCCUGUUAAAAGGGAGUUUUUUCUCCUCCACAGUCUCAGAGCUGCUCAUUGUGGGAACUUUUGGGUUAUCUGUGUAAUAUCGUGGGGCCUCAGCCUCACUGUGUAAAGUGCCUUGAGAUGAUGUGUGUUGUGAUUUGGCGCUAUACAAAUAAAAUUGAAUUGGAUUGAAUUGAAUUGAACCUGCUCUGUCCAAGUCCAGAUUUACCUUCUCAUCUGUUGUUGUGUUCAUGUCCACAUUUCCCUUCUCAUCUGUUCUGUCCAUAUCCAGAUUUCCCUUCUCAUCUGUUGUUGUGUUCAUAUCCACAUUUCUCUUCUCAACUGUUGUUGUGUUCAUGUCCAGAUUUCUCUUCUCAACUGUUGUUGUGUUCAUGUCCAGAUUUCUCUUCUCAACUGUUGUUGUGUUCAUGUCCAGAUUUCUCUUCUCAACUGUUGUUGUGUUCAUGUCCAGAUUUCUCUUCUCAACUGUUGUUGUGUUCAUGUCCAGAUUUCUCCCGCCACCUGUUCUGUCUGGUUCUGAAAGAGAUUUCUUCCUGUUAAAAGGGAGUUUUUUCUCCUCCACAGUCUCAGAGCUGCUCAUUGUGGGAACUUUUGGGUUAUCUGUGUAAUAUCGUGGGGCCUCGACCUCACUGUGUAAAGUGCCUUGAGAUGAUGUGUGUUGUGAUUUGGCGCUAUACAAAUAAAAUUGGAUUGAAUUGAAUUGAAUUGAACCUGCUCUGUCCAAGUCCAGAUUUACCUUCUCAUCUGUUAUUGUGUUCAUGUCCACAUUUCUCUUCUCAUCUGUUCUGUCCAUGUCCAGAUUUCUCUUCUCAUCUGUUCUGUUCCUGUCCAGAUUUCUCUUCUCAUCUCUUCUGUCCAUAUCCAGAUUUCUCUUCUCAUCUGUUCUGUUCAUGUCCAGAUUUCUCUUCUCAUCUGUUCUCUCCAUGUCCAGAUUUCCCUUCUCAACUGUUGUUGUUUUCAUGUCCACAUUUCUCUUCUCAUCUGUUCUGUCCAUAUCCAGAUUUCUCUUCUCAUCUGUUCUGUCCAUGUCCAGAUUUCCCUUCUCAUCUGUUCUGUCCCUGUCCAGAUUUCCCUUCUCAACUAUUAUUGUGUUCAUGUCCAGAUUUCUCUUCUCAUCUGUUCUGUCCAUGUCCAGAUUUCUCUUCUCAUCUGUUCUGUCCAUGUCCAGAUUUCUCCCGCCACCUGUUCUGUCUGGUUCUGUAAGAGAUUUCUUCCUGUUAAAAAGGAUUUUUUUCUCUUUCACAGUCUCAGAGCUGCUCAUUGUGGGAACUUUUGGGUUAUCUGUGUAAUAUCGUGGGGCCUCGACCUCACUGUGUAAAGUACCUUGAGAUGUUGUUUGUUGUGAUUUGGCGCUAUACAAAUAAAAUUGGAUUGAAUUGAAUUGAACCUGCUCUGUCCAAGUCCAGAUUCCUCUACUUCAGUGUUCUUGCUAAAAUAUCUUGUGCAAAAUAUUAAACGUCAGUGUGACUUGUUGUAGACCUUUACAUCAAAGUUUCAUGAAAGGAAUGAUCACUGAGCAAAGUCACAGGGAAUGAUGUCAUCACACUUCAAAGCCACGGGGAAUGAUGUCAUCACACUUCAAAGCCACGGGGGAUGAUGUCAUCACACUUCAAAGCGACGGGGGAUGAUGUCAUCACACAUACAGGUAUUCUACUGUAUUUUGACCCCCUUUUUAACUAAUAGAGUUUUUCAUACCGUCUCUUUGCAACAUACAGCGAACUGCACAAGGGGAAUGUUUGGCUCAGUAUUCCACCUGGUAUAAAACAAAUUAAAGACUUCAUCAACACCAAGAUAUGGACCAGAUUUGAUCCACAUAAGAUUCUUUAAUGUAGAAAACAAUGUGAAAUAUUUGUCUCUUACAACAGUAGACUAAAAUUGUUGAGUGACCUGCUUCCAGAGCAGGUUCACUUCCACACACCAAUGGUUUUUUUGUUUUUUUAUUCAGUCACAAUCAUAAAAACAAUCAUUUUAAACAUAUCACAAUGUGAACUCAAACAGCAAAUAGUGACUGAACAGGCUUAGGCUGAAGCAAAAGCUUAUAUGUGCCUAUCCUACUUUCUUGUCCAUUUAAUCUAACCACCUCAAAGAAAAAGAAAAUAAAGAAACCAAAAUAUAAGUAUAGAAACAAGGAAAUAAAUUAUUCACAUUUAUAACCCUCAAAAAUAGCAUUACAAACCAUUUUCUUGAAAACAAAAAGAGUUGCACAUUUUUAUAUUUAAAUUGGCAUUGUUCCAUACUUUAACCCCCACAAAAGAAAUACAUAUCCUUUUAAUCUCUUUGUUUGCUUUUUGAAAAGUAAAUUUAAAAAUACCUCUGAAAUCUUACUUACUUUCCCAUAUUGAACCAAACUUUUGGACACAGUCUGGAAAGUUCCACAAAGUAAGAUAUAAGGAAGAAAGAGUGAACAAUAAAUAAUAUGCAAAGCUUUAAAAUUCAAUACUUCCCUAGAUUAAUACAGGAUUGCUAUUGUCUUUGAUAGUUUUCCUUUCAUAUAGUCUGUAUGUCUGUAAGAAACACAAACGUCUGAGUCGUGAUAGUUAGUGUCAGAAACUACGUGGAGAUAUAGAUACAUAUUCAAAAUCAAUUCUUCUAACAUCAUUUAGCCAAUAGACAGACGGACAGAGAUAGAUAAAUGUACUUUAUUAAUUUCAAAACUCCAGUGUCACAGCAGCAGGUAUCAAGCUCACCUUACAAAUAUAUAAAAGAUAAGUAUAUAAGUAAAGUAUAUAUAAGAAAUCUAGUGUUAUAUAUUUAAUAUUCUUUACUACAUAGAAUAAAGUGUUGGUGUAUAUAGUUAAUUUUCUUUCCGUAGUGUGCUGUGAAUUGAAUAUAUACUACACUGAGACUAAAUGUAGCAUUUGUAUUUCCUACUUUAAUUAUAUAUAUAUUUAUAUUAUAUUUCAUAUGACACAUUUUGCUUGUUGAAUUGUCCGGUCACGUGUUGUUGUCUGUCCUCAGACCCCUCGGAAUGAAAACAGAGACAAUGUUCGUUUCAGGACGGACACACACCUGUGUGCGCGCGCGUGUGCGUGCGUUUGUGUGUGUGUGCGCGCGCACUCAGUUACACAACCGCUCUCGGUCUCGAGCCCUGCCUGCCUGGUGGCUCCCGCCCACCGCUGCGCUCCGCUGCUGGGCGGACUGGGGCAGAUCCGAGCGGACCAGUUCCGCGUUCUCUGCUCAUCCGCCGCACGGAGCCGGAGCGAGCGAGCGAGCGGCGGCGGCAGCGCGAGGACCCGGCGGCGUCAUGGUGGACGAGGCGCAGCGGGACUGAGGCCGGAGGUGAGCGGCGAGUCGGCGCUCGUCAUUACUGUCUGCGUGGAUUCAUCGGCGACGUGUGCGUCACGUUGCAGCCAAACUUUGACGCCGCUGCCUGGACCUCCCCCCCCCCCUCUCCUCCCCCCUCUCCCCCUCUCUCUCCUGAAAGUGCGUCGCCGUGCACGUUGACGUGCGGGAUUUUCACGGUGAUUCCACGCUCUGACACGACGUGUCGGACGCUCUGCGGCGAGGCGACUGCGCCGUAGUCGCCGUCGGCGUCAGUUGACCAAUCGAGCCUUCCUCCACUGAAAAUGGUGCUUCGGCUGAGACGGGGGAGCGAGCGAGACGUUUCACUCCGUCGGAUUUCUGGGAGUUUGAGCACCGUGUUCGGCGGAAGCGUUCGUUGGGACUGACGUGGCUCGGCGAAGACGGAGUAGCGUUGGGGGAAUGUUUCCCGAAGAGACACUGAUCACAGAUUAGACGUUGGGAACAAGGAUGGAGCAGGAUUUCACACAGGAGCAACAAUAAUCUCUCACGGAAACUGUGAACGGUGAAGAGACGAGACGCCGGACUCGACGUUUAGCCGGCGUCCGUUUCAAACUCUUCACGCGCACUUGGACUUGAAACUAGAAUCUCAGCGUCGCACCCGCGUGCGAACGUAAAC